UUGCUUACAUUUUAGUUUUGUUUUCUUGCUGUGUAGAUAUGUAUAAGGGAUUCUGGUGCUCAUGGGGGGGCAGUUGUCUCUAUCACAUUGAUUGUUUUCCAAAAGAUGUUUGUGUACUUGGAUAUCCUUUCAUAAUUCUCCACUCAGAAACUCCCAACUUCCAACCCUAAAAAAGUCUUUACCUAUAAAAGUUUCUCUCCUCAAUAUUCUAUUUCUAUGUGUGUGUUUUUAUACCACUUUGGAAAAGGAGUUCCUUGGAAAUUCACUAAAUAGUUCUGUUUGGGUCCAACUUACAGUUAUGGCCAACCAUUAUGAAGAAAAAAAUUAAAAUUUUCAUGAGGGAUGCUAAUAAUAGAUCUUGCCACGUGAACCUUACAGAAGUGCCUUAAGAUUCUGCCUGGAGGAUAGAUUGAGAGACUGACGUCCAGGGAGAGCCCGGAGGUGACCUGAGAUCAGAAAGCUCAUUAUGGGCAGAGCCCGAAAUAGAACCCAGGCCCUGUCUGUUUUACCAGUUUCAGGUCCAUUUCAGUGGACAUAUGGCAUGCCCAUCAAGUGACACAUACAUAGUCCCUCCAAAAUAUUGAGGGGACACAGUAUGUAAGUAUCCUGGUGUGGAGCA